GAAUAAUAAAGAAAUAGCAUUAUUUUAAAUAGACUUGAAAAGACGAUUUUUUUUUUUCCCUCCUGGGAAUUGAGUGGGCCUUCUGCUGCAGCUACAGUUUGAUUUGCUUUGCUUUGUUUUAUUUAUAUAGGCAUUAAUUUUCAGUGUCAGAGGACCGGACUUGCAGCCCCAAAUAUGGCUGUUAAAAGAGGGAUGUGUCUGACACAGAAUCCGCUUAGCAAAUGUUCCUGUUUUUAAAGUAACCUUCAAGAAGCGUUUUCUAACCUUUGUCCUGAAUGCGGGGACAGAGCACUAUAGUUUUUCUGAAUCCAGAACGCAGACCCAUUACUGAUUUCUCAUGUUGGCAGAACGUUAGAACGGCAAAAAGAAACAUGCCAAUAAUUUAAUCCAGGAGUUGUGUCAAAGAAAAAUUGCACUGGACAGUUACACAGGCAAGGCAGACUUUAUUCAAGAGACUGUGAGCUCAACUGGUUUAAAAGAAAAGGUGGGAGGGCUUCUUGGUGCUGGGUGAGCUAGUGGAAAUGUACUGGAGGACAGUGGGGUGGAGUGAGUCAAUGGAUUACACUAUCUGUGUUUCCUAAUUGGCAUUUAUUGAAGUUAGAUUCCUACCUUACCAGACCCUGGGAGACAGGGGUAAUGUCUCCUUCAAUAAUUACAUUUCAAAGGGAUGACUCCAGCUCCUUGAGAAAGACAUCCCUGGGUUGCAAAGCUGGGUAAAAAAGCUGGGAGAAGACCUGUCUACACUUUACUUUUUAUUUUUUUUUAAUGUUUAUUUCUUUCUUUUGAGACAGAGAGAGAGAGAGAGAGAGAGAGCACAAGCGGGAGCGGGAUGGAGAGAGAGGGAGAGAGAGAAUCUCAAGCAGGCUCCACACUGUCAGUGCAGAGCCUGAAGUGGGGCUUGAUCCCAUGAACCCUGAGAUGAUGACCUGAGCCAAAACCAAGAGUUGGACGUUUAACCAACUGAGCCACCCAGGUGGGUCGGGACAGGUCCUAUCUCUCCAUACUUUAAAAAGGCAGAGCAAAAAUACACAAUUAUGUUUUCUUAAGUAAAUGCUCUAAGAAAAGGGAGG
rnacentral:lncRNA from 1 species